UUUUUAAAUUUCUUUGAGGGUGACAGCUGCUUCGCAGAUGGUUCGACUAUGAUCAUCAGGCCUAUAAGCAGUUUCAAAGUAGUUUUGAAAAGCUUGGAUUUCUUUUAUAAGCGUGUAAGUACAUUUUCUGGUCUUUUCCUGCACAAGAAGAAAAUCUUUGUCAAAAAGUUGAAUGAAAGAAGUGACAUCAUAUAAUUCUUCGAUAUAAUAUUUAG
rnacentral:lncRNA from 1 species